CUUUCCACCUUCGGCGUUGCGUCCGGAUGUUCUGUCCGGGAGUUUCGAGGAUGGCUGCAGCCUUCGGACGCGUGGCCACAUGGCCUCUGACCGCCGGGGCCCCGGGCAGGAGCGCGCGGCCGCCUUGAGUCUGGUGAGGCCCGCGCCGCAGCAGUUCCAGGGCCGAGAGUCCCCGGCCCUAAAUGCGUGGAGGGCAGCGGCCAGUUCUAGCUCCCGCCACGUUGUCGAUGGGACCUCAGGAGGCCCCGAAGUGGCCCCCUGCCAGGGCUCUCUCGCCAGGAGCUGGAGCGAUGGCUUGGGGGGCGUUUGAGUUUCAUAGACUGUAUGUCAAAGAAAUUUUAAUGGAAGUGGAGAUUUCUUGGCUCUGAGAGGAAAAGGCCACGCCGUGUAACUGCACCUAUGUCUGCCUGCCAGUGUGAAAUCGGGUCAGCGCGGAAGUGCCGUUUAAGGUUUAGAUCUUCAUAACUUUCAGGAUGCAGAACUUGGAUUUUAAGAUGCGGAAAUUAGUGUCACCAGCUUUGGAGCUGAAAGAUGGACGCUUGAAGCAUAGACUCGCUAGCUUAAUACAUGACUAUGAGGAAGCAGAAAGAUGACCUAAGGGUGUCCUUGCUGAGGAAUUUGACGACUUGAUCUUCAAGAGUUGGUUAGGGUUAUGUAAAAUUUUCAAGAUUACUAAAAAUUACUGCUUUUUGAGCAGUCCAUAAAUGUACACAUAAAACAGUGGGGCUAUAAAUAAAAUGGUUUGUUUCUCG
rnacentral:lncRNA from 1 species